AAGCGAAUAGUGAAACCUGGUGGCUCAACCAUACAGACCAUUAUUCGAACUCACUAACUCGAGAGUGGUAGAGGUAACUGGAAUUUCUUGUGUAGGAGUGAAAUCCGUAGAUAUAAGAAGGAACACCAAUGGCGUAGGCAGGUUACUGGACCAUUUCUGACGCUAAGGCACGAAAGCGUGGGGAGCGAACCGGAUUAGAUACCCGGGUAGUCCACGCCGUAAACGAUGGAUACUA
rnacentral:rRNA from 1 species